GGUUGUGGCUCAGUGGUAGAGCAUCUGCUUUGCAUGCAGAAGGUUCCAGGUUCAGUCCCCUUAUGGAAUCU